AGGCAUGUUAUUAUGACAGUUUAUUCUAUAUCAGCAAGUAAUCCUUCCACCAAUCCCCAUUCCACGUAUUCCAGCAACACACAUUUGAGGAACGAAUACUAUUAAACUUGUAUACGGUUUACUAGUUAUUUGUCUUAGUGGAGGUUCUAAACUCUACUAAAGAUGGUGUAAUAAGAAUGAAUAGUCGAGUUUUCUGUGUAAUUGUACUAGUAAGCUUAGUUCCACAAGCCUCCUUAAUGUGCCUUGAGCCAAGUUAUCGGUCCGGUCUGCGAAACCAUAUCGAACAGUACGCCGACGCCCCCUUCAUUUUAGUGGGCAGGGUGGUAGCAACGAAACAAAACAAUACCCACCAAGCCGUCAAACUGUUCGUUACCUGUAUAUACAAAGCCCCAAAGGAAAAACGGGAAACAAUGCUCCAUCAGGAGAUAAACUUCACAAUGCAGUACAGACGAUGUUGGGAGCCACUCCUCAAGCCCAAUCAGAAUUACUUCUUCUUUUUCGAGGAGAAAGUCAUGACUAGAAAAAACAAGAGACGACGGAAGAAGAAAAAGAACAGUGCCUCCGACUUUACCCGAAUGUCACAACAAAAAAAGAAAUAUAUAUCCCUCCAAGCACCUAUUCCAGUUCCAGAAAUGGACGUAACAUCUCUGGAGCGACUUAUAGAGCUUACAGUUAAUAUCACGGAAUACAAUCCUGUCGGACAUUGUUACAGUAAGUAUUAUAGAGCUUACAGUUAAUAUCACGGAAUACAAUCCUGUCGGACAUUGUUACAGUAAGUAUUAUAGAGCUUACAGUUAAUAUCACGGAAUACAAUCCUGUCGGACAUUGUUACAGUAAGUAUUAUAGAGCUUACAGUUAAUAUCACGGAAUACAAUCCUGUCGGACAUUGUUACAAUGUUUGGUCUCCGUGGUCGUCCUGCACAACUAAAUGUGGAGGAGGCACGAUGGAGAGGAUUUACCCCCGACACCAGGAGGAUAAAAGUAACCUCCAUCAGCUGGCAGUCUGCCAACAUGCCCCGUGCGACCAGGGCAGCAGGGACUCUAAAACCAAAUUCCAGUUCCAGCCUAUCAGUAUCAACAACUGUAAAUCCAUGGAACUCGUGGAAGUCCCAUGGUGUACUAAGCAGUGUGACGACCCAGUGGCUGAAAUCAACACAGCAGUUUCUUGGGAGAUGCACCCUACGCUGAUGCUGUGUACGGACCACACCAACCAUCAAGAAUCACUUCAAUAUCACAAUGUGGCCAUUGCCAGCGAUUGCGGGUGUGUUCGACGAGACGUGUUCGAAAAGUAUGCCGUUAUCGGGGGACCGUCCAAGUCCAUCGUCACCGACCAACGUCAACGCCAUUCCAAGAAGAGAAACCUAAACUCUAAAACCAUGAACUCCAAGGAGAGACAUCCCGAACCGGAGAGACAUCCCGAACCGGAGCCAGUAAAACUGCCGGCCACAUAAUCCUAGUCCCCGAGCCCGGGGAUUGCUGGUUCCCAUCUUACUCAACCUGAUGACACCGUGUCACGUGUCGCUGACUAUAAAGCAGCCGAAUAGUCCAAGAAAAAGCUUCUGACGACACUGCUCACGUGACCUCACUCUAAAGUGAGCAUGUACCCACGUGACCUCACUCUAAAGUGAGCAUGUACCCACGUGACCUCACUCUAAAGUGAGCAUGUGCUCACGUGACCUCACUCUAAAGUGAGCAACCCGCAGAAGAGAACUGACAAUUACCUUGUAUUUGAUCUGCUUCUUAACAAUUGCUAAUAGUUAUAUUUGAUGAAAAUUUCUAAGUUAUAUGUGGGAUGAAAACCUCCCCCGUUGAUCGGUUAGUUGCAGUUUUACACGUGCAACUCAAACCUCGCAAUGUGAUAUCACGUGAUAUAGGAUGUCACGUGAUAUAGGAUGUCACGUGACAUAGGAUGUCACGUGAUAUUGGAUGUCACGUGAUAUUGGAUGUCACGUGACAUAGGAUGUCACGUGAUAUUGGAUGUCACGUGAUAUAGGAUGUCACGUGAUAUUGGAUGUCACGUGACAUAGGAUGUCACGUGAUAUUGGAUGUCACGUGAUAUAGGAUGUCACGUGAUAUAGGAUGUCACGUGAUAUAGGAUGUCACGUGAUAUUGGAUGUCACGUGAUAUUGGAUGUCACGUGAUAUUGGAUGUCACAGCCUCUACUAUGUCACGUGAUAUAGGAUGUCACGUGAUAUAGAUAGCAGGGCUGUCAGAGUAACAGCUCCCAGAUUAUUUUGUCGUGUUACCCGGUUUUGUCGUUAUAUUGUCUUUUGAUUGCUUCACGUACCUUUUAGUGGAAAAUAUUCAAAAUAUGUUUGCGUCAAAUUGAUGAUGCUGGACAUUGUUUUUCAGCUGGCCUAACUUUAUUUAAUGAAUUGCGGACAGGAUCGUUUUUGUUCUACUUCUAGAAUCCUAACUACAAAUCCUGAAAUGAAUAUAGUUUUUCAGUGCCCACAGUUUGUUCGGAUGAGCGAUCACAGAUUGCCGUGAACUUUUUCACCCAAUAGUUUUAAUUUAAAAUAAAUUUUUUAAAUGACUCAAAACUGGUCAACCUUAAUUUUCGAACCAACCUCAUAGAUGCUAAGAAUUUAGAUUUAUUGUCAGAUCAUUGUCUUUUAAAAAUACAGCUCUUAAACCAGGCCAGGACGUCACUCUCUGAGAUCGUGUGUGAUCGUGAAAAGCCAUAAAAAUACACUAUAUGCGUUUACUGCAUAAGUGAAUACUUUGAGCUGUCCAAAAAUAAUGAAAUUGAUUGGGUGGAGCAAAAGUUUCAGCAAAAACGAACUUCUAGGGCGCCGUUUAAAUAAGAUUAUAAACGUAUUUUCAAAGAAAAUUUUAGGUUAAGUAUUGACUAGAUGCAUUUUUUAAUUAUUUUUAUUUUGUAAAUGUUAUUUUCGAUUGUGAAUAUAUUUCUAAAAAUGCAACACGCUCCCUUUUA